UUGAGCAAGGGGUUGGACUAGAUGUGACCUCCUGAGGUCCCUUCCCACCCACAUUGUCUGCGAUUCUGUGAUCUUCAGUCUGAACUUGUAGCUGGCUUUUGGAUAGAUUUUUUUAUGGAGUUUCUUAGACAACAAACCUCCAAACACUUCCACAAAUGCUGCUUCUGCUGCAACAGCAGCCCUACUGAUACCCACAGACCUACUCAAGGUAGUGAACUUUAGCACACAGGUAAGUGUUUGCAGGCAUAGUUUUGUGGGGUUAUUAAUGGGUUAUUGCAUUGUGGGACAAUACAAUAGCAGUUACCAGAUGUAGUAGCUUAGGUAGCUAUCAGACUGAUGCAUUGCAUUUAUUCGAUGGCUGUUUGCAUUGAUUACAACCCCAUCCUGCCUGGCCUUUGUGCAACUGCUUAAUUUUGGCCUAUCAGGUUGUGACUUGUGGGCCUCUUAGGGCUGGGUCUGUGCUGUGGUUGAAGUGGGGAUAAUUGUGCGGACCCAAGAUAGCUAGUCCAGUGACAUAUAGGAUCUAGUAGGCAACCAGCAGCUUUUGGAUCAUGGUGGAUGUGUGAGAGGUCACCAGGACCUUCAGCGCAUACACCUAGGCAGGAGUAUGGAAGAAUACAGGCUUCCCAAAUCUUCCACCCCGCUGUUAGGCCAUUGAGACAGUAUUCAAAGGGCAGACUGAGUCCGGACAUUUUGGUGACUUAAUGGCUAUAGUUUUAUGCGCAUCUAGGAAUCGAAUCCUGGCUCUUGCACUGCAGACAAGGAUCCUACCGCUGAACUGCAACAGCAGGGUGUGUAGGAUCUACUGCAAUACAAAGAGGAGUAGUAGCAGUAAUAAUAAUAGAGUUAGAGUUAAUAUUAGUUCUGAAUACCAAUGAAUAGUAGAGCAUGUCAGGUUACAUAACUCCUUUAAAAUUGGACCUUGAAUCUUAUCUUGAAUACAGACAUGGGUUGGGGUUUUUUUCUGCACCAUCCUAUUUGAGAUAGAGGAGAUCACAUGCUGUUUAACAAUGGUUUGGAAAAAUAAGUACUGUCAUUUUAAGAAAGCCUCCGCACAGCUGGGGUUUUCUUUUCUUUUUCUUUUUUUUUUUGCAGUGCAGGUUAUACAUUAGCCUGUGUGUAGAGCCUGGUGGGGCGGUGAAGUAAUGCUUGGGGAAUGUGUGAUUCUUAACGAAGCUGUGGAGGAUGGUAACCAGGAGGUCACAGCUAAUCCAACCCCCUGCUCCAAGCAGGACCAGCCCCAGCUACAUCAUCCCAGCCAAGGCUUUGUCCAGCCGGGUCUUAAAAACCUCCAAGGAUGGAGAGUCCACCACCUGUCCUACUGCUUCACCACCCUUCUACUCGGCAUGAUUUCUCAAUACAGAGGGGGCCGACUAUCACACUUCACCAUAUCACAGGAGGAAGGCUUACAAACUCCAUCCAGCCCUCAGCAGUCAAUGUCCUUGUCUGAUCUGGAAUCAGGACUCGUGGUUGAGGUGAUAUCUUUUAUUAGAUCAACUAGAUUUUUGCAAAAAAACCCAACCCUUUUUAAUUGUCGGAUCUGGAAAUGAAAGGUUCUGCAUCAGCUUUGCCCCCUUGUGUUCAUACCAUACAAUAGAUGCCAGGUGAAAGAAGCAGUCUGUAAUUAGUAGCUCUGCUGAUUAAGCUAGGUAGGAAUCCAUUGGCUCCCAGAGCUACGGGCCUAGCAAGGCUUACCAUCACAAACGUCAUCCCUUAGUUUCACACCAGGUUAGAAUAAGGCUCUGAGGAUGCUUGUGGGGGGCCUGACUUGUUGAGUAAGUUAGAGUGAAGUUACAUGUUACACUUAACUCAUAUUAAAUCUGUGGUGUUAAAGUUAAAAUGUG